GUCCAGGGUAGCCUAGUGGUCAUGGCAUCUGCCCAGUAAGCGGGAGGUCGUGGGUUCGAUUCCCAUCCCUUGACA
rnacentral:tRNA from 1 species